AACUGGAUGAGCAAGCGAACGGUGAGUAACACGUGGGGAAUCUGCCUUUGAGCGGGGACAACAUUUGGAACGAAUGCUAAUACCGUAUAACAAUAGCAACCGCAUGGUUGCUACUUAAAAGAUGGUUCUGCUAUCACUAAGAGAUGGUCCCGCGGUGCAUUAGCUAGUUGGUAAGGUAAUGGCUUACCAAGGCGAUGAUGCAUAGCCGAGUUGAGAGACUGAUCGGCCACAAUGGGACUGAGACACGGCCCAUACUCC
rnacentral:rRNA from 1 species